ACGAACGCUGGCGGCGUGCUUAACACAUGCAAGUCGAACGGAAAGGCCCCUUUGGGGGUACUCGAGUGGCGAACGGGUGAGUAACACGUGAGUAACCUGCCCUUGACUUCGGGGUAACUUCAGGAAACUGGGGCUAAUACCGGAUAGGAAUCCUUGCUGCAUGGUGGGGGUUGGAAAGCUUCGGCGGUUUUGGAUGGACUCGCGGCUUAUCAGCUUGUUGGUGGGGUAGUGGCUUACCAAGGCUUUGACGGGUAGCCGGCCUGAGAGGGCGACCGGCCACAUUGGGACUGAGAUACGGCCCAGACUCCUACGGGAGGCAGCAGUGGGGAAUAUUGCACAAUGGGCGGAAGCCUGAUGCAGCAACGCCGCGUGCGGGAUGACGGCCUUCGGGUUGUAAACCGCUUUCAGCAGGGGCGAAGCUUGUGGUGACGGUACCUGCAGAAGAAGCACCGGCUAACUACGUG
rnacentral:rRNA from 1 species